GACGAACGCUGGCGGCGUGCUUAACACAUGCAAGUCGAACGAAAAGAGGGGAAGAGCUUGCUCUUUCCGGAAUUGAGUGGCAAACGGGUGAGUAACACGUAAACAACCUGCCUUCAGGAUGGGGACAACAGACGGAAACGACUGCUAAUACCGAAUAAGUUCCAAGGGCCGCAUGGCCCAUGGAAGAAAAGGUGGCCUCUACCUGUAAGCUAUCGCCUGAAGUGGGGUUUGCGUCUGAUUAGCUGGUUGGGGGGGUAACGGCCCACCAAGGCGACGAUCAGUAGCCGGUCUGAGGGGAUGGACGGCCACACUGGAAUUGGGACACGGUCCAGACUCCUACGGGAGGCAGCAGUUGGGAAUCUUCCGAAAUGGGCGAAAGCCUGACGGAGCAACGCCGCGGGAGUGAUGACGGCCCUCGGGUUGUAAAACUCUGUGAUCCGGGACGAAAAGGCAGAGUGCGAAGAACAAACUGCAUUGACGGUACCGGAAAAGCAAGCCACGGCUAACUACGUG
rnacentral:rRNA from 1 species